AGAGCGAACGCUGGCGGCAGGCUUAACACAUGCAAGUCGAGCGGGCGUAGCAAUACGUCAGCGGCAGACGGGUGAGUAACGCGUGGGAACAUACCUUUUGGUUCGGAACAACACAGGGAAACUUGUGCUAAUACCGGAUAAGCCCUUACGGGGAAAGAUUUAUCGCCGAAAGAUUGGCCCGCGUCUGAUUAGCUAGUUGGUGAGGUAACGGCUCACCAAGGCGACGAUCAGUAGCUGGUCUGAGAGGAUGAUCAGCCACAUUGGGACUGAGACACGGCCCAAACUCCUACGGGAGGCAGCAGUGGGGAAUAUUGGACAAUGGGCGCAAGCCUGAUCCAGCCAUGCCGCGUGAGUGAUGAAGGCCCUAGGGUUGUAAAGCUCUUUGUGCGGAAGAUAAUGACGGUACCGCAAGAAUAAGCCCGGACUAACUUCGUGCCAGCAGCCGC
rnacentral:rRNA from 1 species